CCUACGGGAGGCAGCAGUGGGGAAUAUUGGACAAUGGGGGGAACCCUGAUCCAGCCAUGCCGCGUGUGUGAAGAAGGCCCUCGGGUUGUAAAGCACUUUCAGUGAGGAAGAACGCCUGGUGGUUAAUACCCAUCAGGAAAGACAUCACUCACAGAAGAAGCACCGGCUAACUCCGUGCCAGCAGCCGCGGUAAUACGGAGGGUGCGAGCGUUAAUCGGAAUUACUGGGCGUAAAGCGCGCGUAGGUGGCUUGAUAAGCCGGUUGUGAAAGCCCCGGGCUCAACCUGGGAACGGCAUCCGGAACUGUCAAGCUAGAGUGCAGGAGAGGAAGGUAGAAUUCCCGGUGUAGCGGUGAAAUGCGUAGAGAUCGGGAGGAAUACCAGUGGCGAAGGCGGCCUUCUGGACUGAAACUGACACUGAGGUGCGAAAGCGUGGGUAGCAAACAGGAUUAGAUACCCGUGUAGUC
rnacentral:rRNA from 1 species